AUACGGAGGGUGCGAGCGUUAAUCGGAAUUACUGGGCGUAAAGCGUACGUAGGCGGUUGGUUAAGUUAGAUGUGAAAGCCCCGGGCUUAACCUGGGAACUGCAUUUAAAACUGACGAACUAGAGUUGAGUAGAGGGGAGUGGCAUUUCAGGUGUAGCGGUGAAAUGCGUAGAGAUCUGAAGGAACACCAGUGGCGAAGGCGACUCCCUGGACUCGAACUGACGCUGAGGUACGAAAGCGUGGGUAGCAAACGGGAUUAGAAACCCUAGUAGUCC
rnacentral:rRNA from 1 species